AGCGGUGUGGAGCCGAAUGGUAAGGCGGCGCCCUGUUAAGGCGUAAUUUGUAGGUUCGAUUCCUACCACCGCUGC
rnacentral:tRNA from 1 species